GAAUGCUGACAUAAGUAACGAUAAAGCGGGUGAAAAGCCCGCUCGCCGGAAGACCAAGGGUUCCUGUCCAACGUUAAUCGGGGCAGGGUGAGUCGACCCCUAAGGCGAGGCCGAAAGGCGUAGUCGAUGGGAAACGGGUUAAUAUUCCCGUACUUGGUGUUACUGCGAAGGGGGGACGGAGAAGGCUAUGUUGGCCGGGCGACGGUUGUCCCGGUUUAAGCGUGUAGGUGUGUGUUCCAGGUAAAUCCGGUUCACUUUAACACUGAGGCGUGACGACGAGGCACUACGGUGCUGAAGCAACAAAUGCCCUGCUUCCAGGAAAAGCCUCUAAGCAUCAGGUAACAUCAAAUCGUACCCCAAACCGACACAGGUGGUCAGGUAGAGAAUACCAAGGCGCUUGAGAGAACUCGGGUGAAGGAACUAGGCAAAAUGGUGCCGUAACUUCGGGAGAAGGCACGCUGACACGUAGGUGAAGUGAUUUACUCAUGGAGCUGAAGUCAGUCGAAGAUACCAGCUGGCUGCAACUGUUUAUUAAAAACACAGCACUGUGCAAACACGAAAGUGGACGUAUACGGUGUGACGCCUGCCCGGUGCCGGAAGGUUAAUUGAUGGGGUCAGCGCAAGCGAAGCUCCUGAUCGAAGCCCCGGUAAACGGCGGCCGUAACUAUAACGGUCCUAAGGUAGCGAAAUUCCUUGUCGGGUAAGUUCCGACCUGCACGAAUGGCGUAAUGAUGGCCAGGCUGUCUCCACCCGAGACUCAGUGAAAUUGAACUCGCUGUGAAGAUGCAGUGUACCCGCGGCAAGACGGAAAGACCCCGUGAACCUUUACUAUAGCUUGACACUGAACAUUGAGCCUUGAUGUGUAGGAUAGGUGGGAGGCUUUGAAGUGUGGACGCCAGUCUGCAUGGAGCCGACCUUGAAAUACCACCCUUUAAUGUUUGAUGUUCUAACGUGGACCCGUUACCCGGGUUGCGGACAGUGUCUGGUGGGUAGUUUGACUGGGGCGGUCUCCUCCUAAAGAGUAACGGAGGAGCACGAAGGUUGGCUAAUCCUGGUCGGACAUCAGGAGGUUAGUGCAAUGGCAUAAGCCAGCUUGACUGCGAGCGUGACGGCGCGAGCAGGUGCGAAAGCAGGUCAUAGUGAUCCGGUGGUUCUGAAUGGAAGGGCCAUCGCUCAACGGAUAAAAGGUACUCCGGGGAUAACAGGCUGAUACCGCCCAAGAGUUCAUAUCGACGGCGGUGUUUGGCACCUCGAUGUCGGCUCAUCACAUCCUGGGGCUGAAGUAGGUCCCAAGGGUAUGGCUGUUCGCCAUUUAAAGUGGUACGCGAGCUGGGUUUAGAACGUCGUGAGACAGUUCGGUCCCUAUCUGCCGUGGGCGCUGGAGAACUGAGGGGGGCUGCUCCUAGUACGAGAGGACCGGAGUGGACGCAUCACUGGUGUUCGGGUUGUCAUGCCAAUGGCACUGCCCGGUAGCUAAAUGCGGAAGAGAUAAGUGCUGAAAGCAUCUAAGCACGAAACUUGCCCCGAGAUGAGUUCUCCCUGAGACUUAAAGUCUCCUGAAGGAACGUUGAAGACGACGACGUUGAUAGGCCGGGUGUGUAAGCGCAGCGAUGCGUUGAGCUAACCGGUACUAAUGAACCGUGAGGCUUAACCUUACAACG
rnacentral:rRNA from 1 species